rnacentral:tRNA from 1 species
AGGGGUAUAGCUCAGAUGGUAGAGCAGCGGUCUCCAAAACCGCGUGCCGAGGGUUC